GUCAACUACCUCGGCCUAAAGGCCGAGGCUUGAAAAAAGCCUCUGGUUGACUAGCCUCAGUCUGCCUUACAGCAGACUACGUUGGUUGGGAAUAUAUAGGCACCGCGGGAUGUCGAUCCUAGUUCCGCGCUCUGC
rnacentral:sRNA from 1 species